rnacentral:misc_RNA from 1 species
AGAAGGAACAAUCAUGGAAAUGGGCCUCCAAGACUGUGCUGAUAGGCUGAUUGGAAACUGGCAUUUAAGAGGCAUUAGUGGUGGUGAAAAGAAGAGACUAAGUAUUGCCCUAGAAAUCCUCACAAGGCCACGUCUAUUGUUUCUUGAUGAACCUACAAGUGGCCUUGACAGUGCAUCAGCUUUCUUUGUCAUUCAAACUCUUGGAAAUAUAGCUCGCGAUGGAAGGACAGUUAUCUCUUCAAUUCACCAGCCAAGCAGUGAAGUUUUUGCACUCUUUGAUGAUCUGUUUUUACUAUCUGGAGGUGAAACUGUUUACUUUGGAGAAACAAAGAUGGCAGUAGAGUUCUUUGCUGAAGCUGGUUUUCCAUGUCCAAGGAAAAGAAAUCCAUCUGAUCACUUCCUACGUUGUAUAAAUUCAGACUUUGAUGCUGUAACAACAACACUGAAGGGAUCUCAAAGAACUCGCGUAUGUAUCAGUUCCAAGCAAAGUUUUUUAGUUGAUAUUUGAUUAGCAACUCUUUUCGCUAGUUUCAAUUUACCCAAUUCAAUUUAGAUUGGGAGGCUACCACUAUUGUGCUCUCACUCGCACUCACACAUGUCCAAGCCUAUGGAUGCUUUGGUUCGCCACCUAAGCCUUUAAAUCACUUUUUGUUUGCUUUCACCAUGUACCACUUUUGUAAAUAUAACCUGUCUGUCUUAAUUAUAGGAUGUCCCAACAACAUCGGAUCCUUUGAUGAAUAUGGCAACUGCAGAGAUCAAAGCAAGGCUAGUUGAGAAGUAUAGGCGCUCAAACUACGCAAGAAUGGCAAAAGAUAGGAUCAAAGAAAUAUCAGCCAUUGUAAGCAAAAUCUAAAAAUUUUCUGAUAUUUAAAUGCUUCCUGGAUGGACGCUAUUUUAUAAUACUGCUGUUCUCUGUCAUCUUUUCAUGCUUGCUUUUGAUACCCAAAAAUGUUAGAUGUUCUUUAGCCUGCACUGUUUUGCAAUAGUAAAAGUUCUGAGAAACAUAAGUUUCUCUUCCAACAAGUUUCAGGCUUGUUGGCUUCCUGCAGCAUGACAAGUAAUACUGAAUUUGACCAUAUUAAAUGAUACACUCUAAGAGAAACAAAAUUCUAUAACAUUGUUGGUGAGAGAACAUGUUAAGCUACAGUCCUUACGAAAAACCAUAACACUGGCUUGAAACAUCAUGCAGGAAGGACUUGAAAUUGAAACAGAAAGUGAGAGUCAGGCAAAUAGGUGGAAGCAACUUUCAACAUUGACCAGAAGAUCGUUUCUGAACAUGUCCAGGGAUGUGGGAUAUUACUGGGCAAGGAUAGCAAUCUACAUAAUUGUUUCUAUUUGUGUUGGUACAAUCUACUAUGAUGUUGGAUAUGGCUAUACUGCAAUCUUGGCUAGGGUAGCCUGUGGUGGAUUUAUAACAGGCUUCAUGACAUUUAUGUCUAUUGGAGGCUUUCCCUCCUUCAUUGAAGAAAUGAAGGUCGUGAUCUCAUUUAUAUAUAAUCUGAUUUUGAACAAAAUAGAAACUCGUGAUUGUGACAUAAACCCGUUAUUUUUGAGAUACUGAUCUUGUUCUUUUCUAAUAAAUCAGAUCUUUUAUAGAGAAAAGCUUAAUGGGUACUAUGGAGUUACAGUGUUUAUCCUGUCCAACUACUUAUCUUCUUUCCCAUUCUUGGUUGCCAUUGCACUUGCCAGCGGGACUAUAUGUUUUUACUUGGUGAAAUUUCGAUCGGGGUUUUCUCAUUAUGCAUUUUUCUGUCUCAAUAUCUUUGCCUGCAUUUCUGUUAUAGAGAGCCUGAUGAUGGUUGUAGCUUCAUUGGUUCCCAAUUUCUUAAUGGGACUUGUUACUGGUGCUGGUAUAAUUGUAAGAUCAAGAUACUUCCAAACUUUUUUAAGCUUACUUUAUUAUUUCAUCACCUGAUUAUAUCUAAACAUAAUCUUAACUUUUUGUCAUUCACGCAGGGAAUCAUGAUGAUGACCUCUGGCUUCUUUCGGUUGCUGCCUGAUCUUCCCAAGCCAUUCUGGCGCUACCCGGUUUCGUACAUCAAUUAUGGAGCAUGGGGACUGCAGGUAAUUCGAAUAAGUGCAUAUCUAGGUGGGGUUGUUGAUUAAUGUGUUUCCAGAUAUGGAAUUUAGAUUAGGACAAAGGAAAAAUUUUCAUCCUACAUAAGCUCAGAUUCAUUGAUUGAGAUAAAAAUUGCAAAGUUAGUCUCAAGUUUGAGCGAUAACCUGCACAUAGUGGUUUAAAAAGUUCAGAAACCUUCUUAAAGCUACUCAGGGUUGCAAGCAAAAGCAUUGCAAGAACCACUAACAACAAUAAAGAUAUGAUAUUUGAUGACACAGAAGAGGGAUGAGGAUGCUUUAGUCUAUCUAUAGUUGUAAGUGUAGCAAAAGCCUACCGUAGAAUAAGUUUAGAAGCAGGAUUUAAAAUUAAAAAAUAAAAAAGGUCACCGAUCACAUUUAAGUUUUUAAAUUAAUUGCAAUUGCUUUGAAAAUGCAGGGUGGCUACAAGAAUGAUUUCCUUGGCCUUGAGUUUGAACCUCUAUUGCCUGGGGAACCUAAACUCUCUGGGGAAUUUAUUGUGACAAAUGUGUUUGGAGUUCCUCUAGAUCAUUCAAAGUGGUGGGACUUAUCUGUUAUAUUUCUCAUUCUCAUAUGUUAUCGAGUUCUAUUCUUUGUGGUUCUCAAGUUCAAGGAGAGAGCUUCACCAAUUGUGAAGGAUCUUUAUUCAAAGAGAACUUUGCAAAAACUUGAAAAGAGGCCUUCCUUCAGGAAGAUGCCACCCUUUGAUUCCAAGAGGCACCAAACUCUCCGUUCUCUGUCUUCUCAAGAGGGUCUAAACUCACCGCUCAACUAGAAGCACUGAAGAGAA